GAGGUUGCACAUAUUGUAUAGUUGAGUAGAAAAUUCCCAUACAUAGUAAAUCGUAGAAGCAACCAUAAUAAGACACAAUGAAAUACAUGGUGAUGAUGUUGCUUCUACUAAUUAUUAUAACAGAUACCGUGUAUUCUCAACAGUCUUGUUUUUGUAUUGCGCAAUAUGAUCCAGUUUGUUCCACAUUUGGUGUGACUUUCAGUAAUCGAUGUCAAUUGGAAUGCGCUCGUCAAUAUUUUGCUUGCUAUGGGAGAUGUCCAUGUUUCUUUAAACGUUCAUAAAGCAACGAUGCAAAAAGACUUGAUUCAAUUGAGGACGAUUCGCUUCUAAAUUUAUUGUUGUUCAGGUUUUCUUCGUGAUUUAUGCAGAUAUAAUAUACAAUUAGGAAACAAUAAUUUAGUAAAAAAGUAAAAGAAUACAAUCUUAUUUUCUUGAGAGUUUAUUACUUUACAAUUCUAUUUGAGCAUGUUCAGCUCCAAUUGGUAUUGAAACAUAUACAUGAAUAAAAUAUAUUAAACCAUUAAAUAUAAAGCAGUUCACAUUAAAGCUUCGACAAGGCUUUUA